UACGUAGGGUGCAAGCGUUGUCCGGAAUUAUUGGGCGUAAAGAGCUCGUAGGCGGUUUGUCGCGUCUGCUGUGAAAACUCGAGGCUCAACCUCGAGACGCCGGUGGAAACCAUCAGACUAGAGUCCGGAAGAGGAGAGUGGAAUUCCUGGUGUAGCGGUGAAAUGCGUAGAUAUCGCUUGGAACGCCAAAGGUGAAAACAGGUUGCUGGGGUUGUGCCGACGCUGAGACACGAAAGCCAGGGGAGCAAACGGG
rnacentral:rRNA from 1 species